AAAGGUGAAAUUAGAUUUAUAAUUUUUUUAAAUAAACUUUUAUUGAUGCCAAUAAGUUUUAGAUUUAAACUAGGAUUAGAUACCCUAUUAUACUAAAAUAAAAAUUAAUAUGCUUAAUUAUUAGUAGUUAUGGUCUUGAAAUUUAAAGAAUUUGGCGGUAGUUUAGUCUUGUCAGAGGAACCUGUUUAUGAAUCGAUAGUCCCCGAAGUAUCUUACUUAAAUUUGUAUACCAUCAUUAUCAGAUACUUUUAAAAGAAAAAAAUAUUAGGUUUAUAUGUUGUAAAUAAAUUAGAUCAAGGUGCAGUUUAUAAAUAAGUUUAAAUGGGUUACAAUAAAUUUUAUUUGGAUGGAUUUAUAAUAAUUAAAAAGGAUUUGAUUGUAUUUAAGUUUAAUAAGCUUAAGAGAUAUAGGCUCUAAAAUAUGUACAUAUCGCCCGUCGCUUUC
rnacentral:rRNA from 1 species